GUGAGGCGCGUCUAGGGUUCCGCCGGUCGCCGGGUCUGGUCCGAGAGACGCAGGCGGUCCGCUACGCGGCAGACCGUUCCACGGCGGGACAAAAACCCGGGAGGC
rnacentral:sRNA from 2 species